AGAAUCAACGCUGGCGGCGUGCCUAACACAUGCAAGUCGAACGCGAAAGUGGAGCAAUCCAUGAGUAGAGUGGCAAACGGGUGAGUAACGCGUGGUGAUUUGCCUCAGGGUGGGGGAUAACCUUCCGAAAGGAGGGCUAAUACCGCAUGACAUGGCGCUUUUAGACGAGCGCACAUCAAAGCUGGAACCGCAAGGUCUGGCGCCUGGAGAGAAGCCCGCGUCCGAUUAGCUAGUUGGUGGGGUAAUGGCUCACCAAGGCGACGAU
rnacentral:rRNA from 1 species